rnacentral:rRNA from 1 species
UACGGGGGGGGGUAAGCGUUGUUCGGAAUUACUGGGCGUAAAGGGCUCGUAGGCGGCCAACUAAGUCAUACGUGAAAUCCCUCAGCUUAACUGGGGAACUGCGUGCGAUACUGGAUGGCUUGGAUUUGGGAGAGGGAUGCGGAAUUCCAGGUGUAGCGGUGAAAUGCGUAGAUAUCUGGAGGAACACCGGUGGCGAAGGCGGCAUCCUGGACCAAUAUUGACGCUGAGGAGCGAAAGCUAGGGGAGCAAACGGG